AAUGGGAUUGCUUUUUUCGUUUCUGAUUUCAGUCUAGGCUUUUCAGCCUUUUUUUUUUUCGUUUCAUAAACUUCUAUCGCACAGUAGUGCAGCUCCGAGUAGUUUCCACCCUCCUUCCACGCCCCUCGCGGAGUCUCGCAUUGGUUUUCGCGCAACAAGUGUUUUACAGUACCCUCUGAAGCCGUUGUUUCAUAGAAUGCCUGUUGUUCGAGCAAGGAAAGCACGCCUUGACCAUGGCUCAAAGCGAUCUAUUUCUCGCUUUCUCGUCUCGGAAGCGGCAAUCGGGAAACUGGUGAAGGACGUCUCAACGGGCACCGAUGCUGCUCAUCCAGUGACGCCAAGGGAACUGGGGAGCGGGUUGCCGCAUGACCCCAUUCACCUUCCUCUUCGAAGGACUCCAAAUGGCAGCGGCUGCUAUCACUGCACCACGGAGGAGUGUUGCUGUGUAGAGUUCGAAAAGAUCUUAUCGAACGCCUACGCUAAAGUGUCAAAGAAACGUGUGGUGGAGGUGUCCGGUUCGCGACAGCUUUGCGCAAAGUCGCUUCUGACGCCUUUUGUAACAAGGCUGGUGCGUCUGAUGAAUAUAACGGAGAAAGACACCUUCUACGAUUUCGGAUGCGGAAAUGGCUCAGUCUUAUUUCAAGUCGCCUUUAUGACCGGUGCGAAGUGUGUUGGUGUGGAAAUCAGCGAGCACAACGCAGAUGUUGCACGAGAGGCCUGGCAGCUCCUGCGGCAGGUGCUGGAGAAAAAGUACGAUCGGCCGAUGCCGAGGGUGGAAAUUAUCACGGCGGAUUUGGCUGAACUCCUCUCUACACCUACGUACUUCGACGAGGAAGAAGGGCAGACGGCUAUCCUGAUAUCGAACCUUCUCUUCCCGAAGCCCCUGACGCACUUUUUGUCAGAGCGUCUCCGAUCGGCCCCUGUAGGAACCCGUAUCCUAUGUUUUGACGAUUUGUACCCACACGCUCGCUCCGUGGCUCCGUACAGAGACCCUGGUGCUUUUGAGCUGUUCGAAAUGAAAGAUUACUUGUGGCAAGAGAUGAGUGUGGAGUGGUGCUCGAUGGAAGGCAGGUUCUUCAUUCACACGCGGAAGUAGCGCUCUUGUUGUGCCAACUGUUAACGUACUGCAAGUCAUGUCUCUCGCCUGCUCGUGAAAAUCUUUUGCUUGCCGUUUGUUUGUCUGUAUCCGUUUUUUUUUUUCUUUUUUUUUUGUGUGUGUAUCUAUGCUUGCUCUUCACCUGGUGCUGUUGUUCUGCCCACCUUUCCUUGUACCAUGAUCCUUCACGUUUUCGCAUCGGAGGCAGAAAAUGCCCAUGCGGUAUUCCUG
rnacentral:misc_RNA from 1 species